CGUAGCGCAGCCUGGUAGCGCACCGUCAUGGGGUGUCGGGGGUCGGAGGUUCAAAUCCUCUCGUGGACCA
rnacentral:tRNA from 3 species